GGCAUUGAGUUAGACAGCUCGAUUUGGGCAGAGGGAGAGUUUUACCAAGAACACUUUCAGUUCCUGUUUCCAAUUGAGGCUGCUCCCUGCCUGGGGCCUACCCUAACGCAAAAGCCCAUUGGCUAGAAUUGCUUAAAUGUCCCAUACAAAUAUAAACACCUCGAUAGUGCUGGGAAGAUUAAAGGAACAGCUUAUUGAUAUUGUAUAUGCUCUUGUUUGGAUGUGUGACGGGGAAGACAGCAUUUAACUGCUGGUAUGCAAUGCUGAACCUGGACUGCAUGAAGAGGUUUUCGUUCACUGAUGUUGGAUGUGUGCCCAGACUGCCAUAGUAGAAUUUAGGGAAAACACAGAAAGGAGGAGAGACACAGAAUGGUUUUUGGGAACAUCCAUGUGGGGCAGAAGAAUAAAUACAUGUGAAGACCAUGUUUCCAGAAAUGAAAUGACUGGCCACUGGGCAACAGUUAUGAGUCCCCCAAAUCCCUUCCUGGUCCUCUCCAUUUGCACUUGAAGAUGGAGUCUCUCUCUGUCACCCAGGUUGGAGUCCAGUGGUUCAAUCUCGGCUCACUGCAAGCUCUGCCUCCCAGGUUUACGCCAUUCUCCUGCCACAGCCUCCCGAAUAGCUGGGACUACAGGUGCAUGACACAAGGCCUGACUAAUUUUUUGUAAUUUUAGUAGAGAUGGGGUUUCACUGUGUUAGCCAGGAUGGUCUGGAUCUCCCAACCUCGUGAUCCGCCCGCCUCAGCCUCCCAAAGUGCUGGGAUUACAGGUGUGAGCCUGGCCAACAAUCUUUUUAAAGUACAUAUGAAAUCUAGCUAAAGGAAGAAUUAGGAAACAGGAAGAUGGAUCUCUAAAAAUUACCCCUAUAAUGUAGCACAGAAUGAUAAAGAAAAGGAUAACAUGUAAGAGAACUAUUUCAAAGGAAUCCAGAAGAAGAGAACAGAGAAAAUGGAGAAUACACAAUUAAAAUGGUAAUUGAGAAAUUGUUCCAAAACUGAUAUGAACAUGAAUCAUCAGAUUCAAAUAGUAAAAGUAGCCUCAACAUGAUAAGUACAAUUGAAUCCACACCUAGACAUAUCAUAAUGAAACUUCAGAACACCAACAUAAAAAACAAGUUUCUUUAAAGCGCCAGAAAGAAGGAAAAAUCAUUUGAAAGAAUAAUAUUAUACUGACUGCAGACAGCAGAAUUAUCGUAGCAACAAUAAAAGUCAAGAGAGUGGAAUAGUACCUUCAGUAAGUUGAAGCCACAUAGCUGUCAACUAGAAUUAUAUGUUGUUGUAAUCACCCCACAGCAAUGAAUGGGCUCCCCACGUGAAACUUUGUUCAGAUAUCAUGACUGAUGGUACCAUACACACAUACCAAGAGAGUAUGAACAUUUUUAUUAAUCAUGGAUUGAAGAUUCCUGGGGAGAACAGAUUCCCAAGCAGGUCUGAAAAUGGUUGGGAGAGCAGAGAAUGGAGACUGUCUUGGGUUUAUGAUGGUUAGGUAGUUAGAGGUGAAAGUGAAGUUUCCCUUCAUGAUCCAGGGCUUGCAUGGUUUAAUCUUUCUGACACCAACAAAGGAGGGUACCUAAGAAACCAGGUAAAGGUAUAUUGCAUUCCUUCCAAAGUGAAGGCAAAUUGAAAUUUGAGAGACUAUUGAAAUAGGCUCAGAACAGAUGUAGACAAAUAUGUGACUGAAAAGUACAUACCAGUUGCUGAUUGUUUGGUGUUUAUCUUCUCAUGGAGAAAGGAAGGCUGUGUGCAUACAAGUGACAUCUGCUGCUUGUUUCAAGUCCUAGAAUUGUAUGACUACCUUAGCUUCAUGUGGGCCUAGUGCCUCAUUCUGUUGGUCCUGUUCUUUGAUUAUACAGGCUGUUCACCUCAGGUACAGGUACACAUCUAUUGCUCUAUUGCUUCCUCCAAAGCAAAAUGCCCUUGAUAUUAAGUUCACAGAGCCUGAGGCUUUUGUCCAGAUUUUACUGAUUUCUCCAAUUUCUGCCUAGUAGUAAAGUCUUUGCCCUUAGACUAAGCCAGCUUUGUCCACUAGAGAUAUGAUAUGAGCCAUAUGCGUCAUUUAAAAUUUUCUAGUAGCUACAUUUAAAAAUAAAUUAACAGAGCUAGGUGAAACUAAUAAUACAGUGUAUUUACUCCAACACAUCCAAAAUAAUAUGAAAUGUUAUUAAGAUAUUUUGCAUUCAUAUUUUCUAAGUCUUCAAAAUUUAGAAUGUACUUUAUUUACACUUACAGAAUAUCUCAGUUAAGCGUUCAUUAAAAGUGCUUGAUCUGUGUUUAGAUUUUAUAAAAUUUACAGUUGAAAAAUUAGAUGCACAUACCUAAGUUAUUUCAAAUGUACAAAAACAGUUUCCAAAAGCUGAAUUGAGGGUCAAUUUUAAAAUUUAAAUUUAAAGUAAUUUAAGUUAAAUUAAAAAGUUAGUUUCUCAGUCUCCCUAGCCACAUUUUAAGUGCUUGGUAGCUACAAGUGGGCUAGCAGCUACUGCACUGGGCAGCACAGACUAUCGUGAAAUGCAGGCCCUCAUCUCAAAGCCUCCUUUCUGCUUGCAUGUUACAUCUUGAAUUAGAAAGAUGGGACUGCACCUCACUUCCUGAAAAUAACACUCAUAUACCUUAAACUGACAUUCAAAACUCUUAGUAACAUCUUGAAGGCAUUGAAACAGCCAAGGAUCUACAACUUCCUAAUUAAACUAGCUAAAAUUAAUUUUUCCUUAUUUUGUUAUCCCAAAGAACUUCUUCUUACCUCUGUUUUAGGCUUUAUUCCAAUAGGCUCAUAGUAUUUUUUACUGUAUCCUUGGUGAAUCGCCAUGUCAUAAUCCUAAAGAACAUGAUUCCUAAGUUUAGAAAAAUCUAGGUUUGAUCCCCCGAAUGCCCAUCUAUUGGCUUGGGCAGUUAUGUCUUCUGAGCCUAACAUUCCUUAUUUACAAAGUGGGAAUAAUACUUACUUAAUAAUAUGAUGUAGUGAGGAUUAUAAGUGAUACAGCCUAUAAAGUGCUUUACUUUGUGUCAGAGUUUGUCACCAAAAAAAUUACAAAAAUAAUGUUAGCAAAUAUUUAUUGAUCUGUUUCUCACUAAAAUUUAAGUCUUUAAAGGUGAGGGUCAUUGAUCUGCUUGCUAAAGGGACAUCACCUAGCACUGUGCUGUGCAUAUGGCCGUAUAUACAGCUCAGUCAAUGGUUGAGUUUAAAUUCAAACUGACUGCUACCACUGACUGGAUUCAGACUUCACCCUGCUUCGCAUGCCCUCCUUAUCUCCAUUUGUAUAUCUCUUCCAGUUGCUUUGCCUCUUUGUCUUCUUGGUCUCAAUAGUCACUAAAGUUUCAAGCAACAGGUGAGAAAAAUAAAAUUAAAAAGCCCUUUUUCAUAAGGCAAAACAGUCAUGGAAUAUAAAGGAAAUUUAAUUUUAGAACUGCAUUAGAAUAAAGUUGGUUAGGUAUAAACCCUUAACUCCUAGAAACGUAUUCAGAGCAACAGGCAUCUCCGCCAGCUCCCUGGGACCGGGCUACAGUGGAGUUGUGUCAUAGUGCAAAAGUAGUGAACUGCUGAUAAAAAGCAUUAACCUCCAUCAGAGUGGCUGCCAUUAACUGAUGAAAUCAAUUAAGCCAGCAGCACUACCUGCUGAAAACUGAUCUAGCAGAGGAACGGAUGGCAGGGUAGAACAGAUGAAAUGAAAAAAUAGUGGGCUGGGUUUUCUUCUUGCUCUGUUUUUAGAAAUGUUAAGUUCCGUCAGUGUGUUUUUUUGCACUGCUUUGAAGAACUCUUUCCCCGGCGACUCCCCCCCUGCUUGGCCUCAUUCCUUAAACUCACUAAGUUAUUACAGUUAAUACCGUGGUUAAUGGUUUCUGGAAAGACGAUAUCUAUCAGCAUCUGAGUGUACACAUUUUGGCCUAAAUACUGAGAAAUCGUAGGUAUGUAAUACAAAGCCUGGGUGUGCCUGCCUGUAGAAAGUAGCUCAUUAGGAUUAAUCUUUUAUGGAGUGACUAAUGCAAAGGGAACGAGGCCUUUUCCUCCCCAACUCGGCAGAGGUUUUGUCCAAACUUUCAAACAGGUUUCUUUGGAAUACAGCUGGUCACUACUGAAGACUUUGCUCAAACAUAUGGAACUUUAAAACCUUGAUUUUUUUUUUAACUUUUGUAUACUGUAGCAAUUCCCUGAAAAUCAAAUGGCAGAACCUAAACGGAAGACUCACUGCCAAAACGCAUGCCCAGUUGGGGAAAAGUGUGUGGGGAAUCAUCCAGCACACUUCGAGAGCUUCGAGUACAGCCUGGUAGAACUCUGUAUUACCUUCUGUUCUGAUUCCUGAGCUCUGCCAGACUUUUGUUUGAAAAAGCAUCUUUAUGCAGCAGUACAUUUGUUACGUUGUAUCUGAGAAUACUUUCCACCUUGGCUCCUGCUUUUAACGAGUAAAAUGACUUCUUCUCUUGCUACAAAGACCAAAAGGACACAAGGUACAAGGCAGAGCUUCUCAGCAGAGAUAUAUGUUUUUUUCUGCCAAAAUUAGUAUAAGACAAUAAGUUGUCUGUAAAGGUCCGGUAGUCAGAUAAAGGAGUCAAGUUCCUUUUCAGGGUAAUGUAAUUGUUAGUCCUCAUAAAAAAAAGUGUUGUGUGGUGGGGGGAGUUGCGGCUUUAUCAAUAAAAGCAUACAGAGCUGAAUAUCUACAUAAAGAAAUGUUCAGUAUAAUUUAUGGCAUUUCAUCAUGUCGAACUGCAUUUCAAGUAAUUCACCCUGGCAGUUUUAUUCUCAAAAUGGAAAUCUUAGUAUUUUCCUUGCCUUCAUCAAAUAAAGAGUUCGUGUUCAACUGUAGUCCGUAUACUUGAUAAUUUGUCUGGCUGGGUAAGGUUAUUAGCAAUUUAAGAAGUAAACCCAUUUGGAUUUUCAGAGUUAACAGAAAUAGGAGAUUGCUAUGAUGAUCUCUUAAAAAUUACAAUGUAACACACAAAAGUGAGAUUUAAGUAACAAGAUUUUCCAUACACCAAUAACACCAGGGAAAUUCAAACUCAAACUCCCUCGUUUAAUUUCCAGGGAUUAAGGGGUUGGUAUUGAAGUCAAUGAAAGAUACAUUUUACAAAACUGUUAAUUCAAUUCAGAAAAGCAGACCAAAGGCCCACUAUCUUUAGAGUUUCUUUGGUUGAAAUGCAACUUGAUCAACUGGGUGGAAGAUAUUUCUAAUUCUCUAAACUGGUCAGAACAAAGUAGAGGACAGUGGUCCCAGCCAGAGGAUCCUGAGGGUCUCCUAUGAUAAACUGUUAGACUUGCAAGGGCAUUUAGAGAUUAUUUAGCCCAAACCUAUAGCUUGGUAAAUGAGGAAAUUGAAGCCUAGAGAGUAAAUGACUUAGCUAACAUCAUUCAACUGGUCGGUAUAGGUGUUCACUCACUUGCCUUUCAAAUAGAGAUCUUUUUAACUCCCUCAUCAAAUUCUUUCAGGAAUUAUUGAUUUUCUUAGUUGGUUUCUUUUGAUUUUAUAUUUUAUCAUGGAGAUGAUAUUAAUUCCAGGAUAAAAUACUGAUAUAAGGAAUUUUCAAAAUUGUUGCUCAUUAUUUUCUAAUUUUCAUUUAGCCUCUUGCAACAUUGCAAACAAAGUUGAUAACAUUUUACCUUUAGAUUCACCUUUUCAAUUUACAAAACACUUAAUGUCUAAGACUUGCCAAUGAUAUAAGCUAUUUACUAUUUAACACAUUUAUAGAUAAGGUGUAGAGCAUUGGCAAGGUUAAAUGACUUUGCUAAGGUCACACAACCAGACAUUAGCGAAGCCAGACCUUGAACCCAGCAUUUUUUACUGUUUACACCAUGUUAGUUGUGAAUGUAUAACUAAGGCAAAGGGAUCACCUCAUAAAGUUCUUACUGAUGAGGGACUGAAUUGUUUAUUUGCUAUUUCACUGUAAGAAGCUUCGCUUAAUGGAUAAAAGCAUAAGAUUUAGACUCAAACCAGAAAUCCACCUCUACUUUAUAGUAGUAUGGGGACAUUGGUUAAGUGAUCUCUUUUAUUCACAAUCGUCUCAUCUGCUUAAUGGUGAUAAUAAUAAAUGUAGGUUUUUCUGGAACAAUUAAAUGGCUAAUGCAUUUGAGAAAAAGCAUGUAUUUCAUUGUUUGGCAUAAAAUAAACACUAUAUAUUUUUAGUAACUGUUACUAUGCUAUUAUUCUAAGCUAUACUAUCAGCAAGAUGUAAGUAAUGCUCCUAUUUCAUCAUAAAUAUAUAAAUACUUAUGUUUUUAUGUAUAGAUUGUUAUGCUUACAUAGGUUUCAGUGCACUUUGUUAGUAAUUAUUCUUCAUAUCUUUCAGAAUGCAAACUUCUUAAGGUCAAAGACAUGUGUUUUAUCUUUGAUAUAGAAUAUUUUCAAUGACAAGAUAUGUUCAUCUUUAUAUCCCCAAAACCUAUCAUGUUUUUGAAAGACAGUAAGUGUUAAUAAACAGUUAUUAGUGUUGAAA